CUGUAAUCAGCGAGCCCACGCUGACACACGGGUGGCACCCGGAGCCUGCUGAUUACAGGAGGGGUCACUGUUGCUGUCGUACAUCCCGCGGGUCUUCACAAAUGUAGACUGUCACGGACCCGCAAGUAUAUUGUCACCCAGAAGAGUUUCCCCGCCCUAAACGUGCUUUGCCCAUUCGUCCCUCCCUCCUCCUAACUCUUGCCGAUCAUUUUAUUGUCCACACUUCGUCUUUUCCAGAGAGCCUGGCAUUGAAAUUGUACUACACGCACCCUUUUCGGACGGGCUCCUUUCACUCAGUCACACAUACUUAAGGGUUCCCGCUGUCUUUUCCUUCUCGUGGCACCGCCUCCUCACCCAUCCACCAACUGGAGGACGUCGGGGCGGCUUCAAGUUGGACGAUUAGGAAUGGAGUGGUUCUGCACAUCUGCGCGCAGGCUUCAGCGUGGACGGAGGUCGUCACCUCCCUUGAAGGGUGCAGAUAGCGCGCGAGGAAAAGCGGCCGCACUCUGAGUUCCUGUUGCUCACCUUCCUCUCCGGGCUGUGUAGUGUCGCUGUUCUGGGUCCAAACCCUUCUCACGGAGGCGGCCUUCUGUGCUCAUCACCUUUCCCAGAUGACCGGAAGUGACCAUCUUCGGCUGUCUGCCCGCCUGCGGAGUUUGCAGACAUUCUUUUAUUUCUUUUGAGCCUAUGAAGUCCAGUUGUCGAAAGGCUUGUGUCUCGAUGUCCUUCCCCUGGGAGCCUUUGUGGAUCCGCCCAGUCCGUGCCCCCCACCGCAGCCCCGACUCCUGCUGCUCCUUGGUCACUGAUGCCUGGCUGCCGGCUUUCUUCAGCCAAGUCCCCGUCACCCAGCCAGGGACCAGGCUCCAGAAGCCGAGUGAGGACCGUCCCCAUGUCCUUACUCCUCCUGCCCAAGCCUUGGCAGAGACCACAGGCCCUGCGCCUCUGCCCUGCCCAGCGGAGUGACAAAACCAUGCAGCCACAGGGCCCGCCCCAGGGUGCGACUCGUCCAUCAAAGCUCGGUGGGUGUGACACUCCUUUAUUAAAACCUAAGGACAUCUUUAUAAAAACUACUGUAUAUAAAGACAAAAGCAGCGUAACAGCAGUCAGUGUAAAACACAUCAUUGUCACGGGGGGAAUAUUAGAAGGAACAGUAUUGGUUUUUUGGUUUUCCCAGUUAUCAGCCAUCAGAGACCCCAUCCUGCCACCUGAAGUUGGGGUUCCCGGAGAGAGGGGGCAUCCCUGUUCCCCAGACCUGCGUGCCCUCGCCCAGCUGGCCCCGGAGAGGACCCUGACCUUUUGGGGGGAAGGUCUCCCGCCCCAUGGAGGUGACUGA
rnacentral:lncRNA from 1 species